AAGAACAAACCUAAGUUAUGGUGUUUAGAUAGUUAAGGAUGCCUUUUUCUUUUUCUAUUUUUAUUAUUUUAUUUUAUACUAUUUUAUUAUUUUAUUUUAUUUUAUUAUUAUUAUUUUUAUUUAUUUAUUUAUUUUUUUGUAAUUUAGAGUGAGAAAACACCUGGGUGCCAAAGGACCUUCCUCCCAGACUCCUUCGUAAGGAGCUCGGUUCACACCAUCUGUAUUGCAAUCCUCAAUGCUCCUGGAAUCUUCAACCCCGCUCUUCCCGAUAUAAAAUCUUAUGGUAGCAAGCGCCUAGCCCAAGACGCCACACCAGGCGCUUGAAAGCACUCAGGCCCAAGCACCCGCACCUGUGGGGCCUCCGGAAGCCAGCCCGAGAACGUGAACCGCGCAUGCUCCGGCCGCCAAUUUACAGCCUUCCACCAGCUUCCCGGGCUUCCGAGGAGGAUCUCUGGGCUGACUUCUACUUCUGCCAACGCCCGAGGUCCAAGGCUGCAGCACCCGAAACACGCCGUUACGUUGUGGGCUCGCUAUCCUGGACACUGCUAUCCUUUCGGACAUCGUUAAGGUCCAGUAUCUCAUCUUCCAUCUUCAUCCUGUUGAUGGCUCAUGCUGUCUGUUUCAUUUGAAGCAUAAUUGAAACCAGGACAAGAGACAUCAGAUUCUUUCCUUGACCCAUCACACGGACUCCUGCAAAGGUCUUUCUGUCUCCUGACUCUUCUGCCUUGUCCUUUAAAGUUGGCAAAUGGUUUACAGGUGAGACAUGGUUUACUUUACUAUGCUAGCUUGCUUGUUAGGGGACCAACUUUAUUACUAUCUCAGGGCACUCUCAAUAGGGGGGUGUAGCUCAUUUGGAAUUUCAGUUCUGUGAGUAAAACAUGGUAAGAGCUACUGGGUUGGUGGCACAGAGGGGGUCCAAGAAGGAUUGAAUAGUCACUGCAAAUGGGAAGAGAAUACCAGAUGCCCGUGGGGUGAGAUCAAAGAAGGAAGCGUGUACCCAGACUAUAACUUUAAG
rnacentral:lncRNA from 1 species